GGAGGAAUGGACUUGCCUUGUCUCAGGCACUCCCUCCAAGACAGACUUCUCUGUGGAAGCAGCAUAUUGGAGGCCUGCUAGGACAGUUCACAGGAAUGGCUGUGGAGGGCUGCAGGCAUGUCUCUAAUCAGAACCUGCUUGUCUUUUUGAUUGACAGCUGCACUUUCUCCACCAAGAAGUGGGUACUGUGCAAGUUAUGGUCAUAGUGAAGGUGGGGGACAUGGAGAUGAUCCCGAAUGAGCUGCAUAGGCCUCAUCGAAUCAGUGGAAAGCCUUGAGAACAGAGCCGAAGUUUCUCUGAGGAAGGGGAAAUUCUACCUGUAGACAGCAGCUUCAGUUCCUGCUGCAGUUUCCAGCCUGCCCUUCCUGACGGCCUUCCCUGUGGAUUCCAGAUUUGCCAGCCAGUCCUCAUAGCCAGAUAAGCCAAUUGCUUGUAAUAAAUCUCCUAGUGUUAAUGAUCCUUUAAUAAUAUACAUAUAAAUAAUAUAUCCUAGUAUUAAUAAAUCAAUCUCCCUCUCUCCAUCUCUCUCUCUCUCUCUCUCUCUCUCACACACACACACACACACACACACACACGUCUUACUAGUUCUACUUCUCUGGUGUAACCUUGACUGAUAUAGAUGAGUAACCA